rnacentral:pre_miRNA from 1 species
CAUAUACUCCCUCCGUCCCAUAAUUCUUGUCUUAGAUUUGUCUAAAUACGGAUGUAUCAAGUCACGUUUUAGUAUUAGAUACAUCCGUAUCUAGACAAAUCUAAGACAAGAAUUUUGGGACGGAGGGAGUACAAA